rnacentral:rRNA from 1 species
CCUACGGGGUGCAGCAGUGGGGAAUAUUGCACAAUGGGGGAAACCCUGAUGCAGCGACGCCGCGUGAGCGAUGAAGUAUUUCGGUAUGUAAAGCUCUAUCAGCAGGGAAGAAAAUGACGGUACCUGACUAAGAAGCCCCGGCUAACUACGUGCCCGCAGCCGCGGUAAUACGUAGGGGGCCAGCGUUAUCCGGAUUUACUGGGUGUAAAGGGAGCGUAGACGGCGGUGCAAGCCAGAUGUGAAAGCCCGGGGCUCAACCCCUGGACUGCAUUUGGAACUGUGCUGCUAGAGUGUCGGAGAGGCAGGCGGAAUUCCUAUUGUAGCGGUGAACUGCGUAGAUAUUAGGAGGAACACCAGUGGCGAAGGCGGCCUGCUGGACGAUGUCUGACGUUGAGGCUCGAAAGCGUGGGGAGCAAACAGGAUUAGAUACCCUAGUAGUC